AACGAACGCUGGCGGCAUGCCUAACACAUGCAAGUCGAACGAGACCUUCGGGUAUAGUGGCGCACGGGUGCGUAACGCGUGGGAACCUGCCCUUAGGUUCGGAAUAACUCCCCGAAAGGGGUGCUAAUACCGGAUAAUGUCUUCGGACCAAAGAUUUAUCGCCUUUGGAUGGGCCCGCGUUGGAUUGGCUAGUUGGUAGGGUAAAAGCCUACCAAGGCGACGAUCCAUAGCUGGUCUGAGAGGAUGAUCAGCCACACUGGGACUGCGACACGGCACAGACUCCUACGGGAGGCAGCAGUGGGGAAUAUUGGACAAUGGGCGAAAGCCUGAUCCAGCAAUGCCGCGUGAGUGAUGAAGGCCUUAGGGUUGUAAAGCUCUUUUACCCGGGAUGAUAAUGACAGUACCGGGAGAAUAAGCUCCGGCUAACUCCGUG
rnacentral:rRNA from 1 species